GUGGGGGGCGGCAGUUUAGUUUCGUGGGACCGGCGGCAUUCGUCGUUCCUCCCCACGGGGAUAAUUCGAGAAGUGCGGUACGGGUAGGGAGAGAAAUCAGGAGAGAAAAUGAGAAAGAGAAGCCUCGUUUCCCCUCAAAGUUGGACGACCCACUCGCAUAUCUCCUUUUUGGGAGAUUCGCUGGAGGUGUACUUAACCGAAACUAGCAAUCCCAGGCGGUAGAAGGCCCUCCAUCGUAGGCAAAGCACCACCUGAAUGUAGAUUUGGGGCCAUACGUUGGAAAAUAAGACAUGAGAGUAUGCUCCAAUCAAUUUUAGUGUUUACUGGACAACUAUUUUGGGAAUUUACAGACCUAUAAAGCCCAUCUAUAAAUCUCAAGCAUGUCCACUUUCAGAGAAGAGAAAUGCCAACAACCAUUUAGUCUCUGAGGACAACGCUUUUAAAGCACCUGUUCUUCUCAUCACUGGACCUAUAAAGUGGCAUUAAUCAUCAGGAGUCCAGCAGAAUUGGGAAAGUCAUGUAUGCUGCAAAGUACAUUCCAAAGUCUUAAAAUAUUCUUGUCUUACCCACUGUUCUGUUUAUUUGUUUACUUAUUUUUAAACAAACAUCUGUUUGAAAGAGGGAGUGCUGUGUGUUCUGGUAUCCUUUACCUG